rnacentral:rRNA from 1 species
GACGAACGCUGGCGGCGUGCUUAACACAUGCAAGUCGAACGGAAAGGCCCUGCUUUUGUGGGGUGCUCGAGUGGCGACGGGUGAGUAACACGUGAGUAACCUGCCCUUGACUUUGGGAUAACUUCAGGAAACUGGGGCUAAUACCGGAUAGGAGCUCCUGCCGCAUGGUGGGGGUUGGAAAGUUUCGGCGGUUGGGGAUGGACUCGCGGCUUAUCAGCUUGUUGGUGGGGUAGUGGCUUACCAAGGCUUUGACGGGUAGCCGGCCUGAGAGGGUGACCGGCCACAUUGGGACUGAGAUACGGCCCAGACUCCUACGGGAGGCAGCAGUGGGGAAUAUUGCACAAUGGGCGGAAGCCUGAUGCAGCAACGCCGCGUGCGGGAUGACGGCCUUCGGGUUGUAAACCGCUUUCGCCUGUGACGAAGCGUGAGUGACGGUAAUGGGUAAAGAAGCACCGGCUAACUACGUG